CUCCUUGUAACUCAGUUGGAUAGAGUAUCUGCCUUCUAAGCAGAUGGUCACAGGUUCGAAUCCUGUCAGGGAGGCCA
rnacentral:tRNA from 1 species